GAUGAACGCUAGCGGCAGGCUUAACACAUGCAAGUCGAGGGGUAGGUUACUUCGGUAACUGAGACCGGCGCACGGGUGCGUAACGCGUAUGCAAUCUACCUUAUACAGGGGGAUAGCCCAGAGAAAUUUGGAUUAAUACCCCAUAGUAUUACGAAAUCGCAUGGUUUUGUAAUUAAAGUUCCAACGGUAUAAGAUGAGCAUGCGUCCCAUUAGCUAGUUGGUGUGGUAACGGCACACCAAGGCAACGAUGGGUAGGGGUCCUGAGAGGGAGAUCCCCCACACUGGUACUGAGACACGGACCAGACUCCUACGGGAGGCAGCAGUGAGGAAUAUUGGUCAAUGGGCGCAAGCCUGAACCAGCCAUGCCGCGUGCAGGAUGACGGUCCUAUGGAUUGUAAACUGCUUUUGUACAGGAAGAAACACUCCCUCGUGAGGGAGCUUGACGGUACUGUAAGAAUAAGGAUCGGCUAACUCCGUGCCAGCAGCCGCCGCGGUAA
rnacentral:rRNA from 1 species